UAAAAAUGAAGCAUGCUCUGAUACCACAUGAUAGAACUAAGUCAUGCACAGCGGAAAAAGAAUCGAAUUUCUACCCUAAUUGCCACAAUUAACAUCUAACCAUAAACUAAUCAAAUUAGGGUUUUAAGAAGUAUUACCUUUGAAGCUUUCAAAAAGGUUUGAUGUCUUCUUACCAAUUCUACCCGAGACCACCACUAGUACUCAACUGCUAUCCUCUAGACAAAGAACCGGGUUGUGGACCCAAUUUUGGUGUAGAAAGUAAUGGAGAUAAAAUGAGAUUGGAAGCUUUCUUUUUUUCUUUUGUUGAGAUUAUGAAAAUGAUAAAAGAGGCAAAAGUCCUUCAACAUUUGAAAACAUCUCUAUUUAUAGCCUAAUUACAUGCAAAAAUGCAUGCAAUUCAAUUGCCAAAUCUCAACACCUAAUAUUCCACUAACAAUUAGUGGAACUUAGUGGCUAGGUGUCUAUAUCUCAUAUAGCCACAUAUCCCACUAAGAGUUAGUGGGAUUAUCCAACAAAGUUGGAUUUUCCCACUAACUUAGUCCAAGGGUAAAAUGGUCAUUAGAUUUUUCUAGUCAAAAGUCAAACUUUGACUUUUCUAAGUCAAAAGUCAAUAUUUUGACUUUUUACCAUUUUGUCCGUCUUGACUAAUUCCAACCUCCCGAGCAUGAAUCCGCAUUCAUUUUUCCAAAAUUCAAAUCACAUUUGAAUAUAAGGCCGGUCAAAGUUUGACUUUUCAAAGUCAAAAGUCAACAUUUUGACUUUUUACUAUUUUUGACCAAUUCCGAGCUUCUUAGUAUGAAUCCGCAUUCAUACUUAUAGUAUGUAAACAUAAAGCUCUAUUUCUAAUUAGAAGACCGACGAUUAUAUCACUGUAUAUGUCGGUUUUCCUUUCUUCUCCCUAUUCGAACAAUUCGACUUAUUUCAUCACACUGUUCUAAGUUUAAUCCAUAUGACUAGCAGAGGAACCUAAUGGACCUAUAGAUCAUGGCUCCAACGAUUCAAGAUUAACUAGCUAAACUCUUUUAAACCGAGUUAAUCAACAUUCGUUAACUAACGGGUCAUUCCACUAAAGUCCCGUAGUUGCACUCCCCUCACUAUAGAUAUAUUUGUGUCCAUUUGAUAAAACCAUAAUCAGUAAGUUAAUCCUUCACAGGUUGCUCGUAACCUUGGCUGGGUCAAAAUACCGUUUUACCCCCAAGAUUACAUCUUGCUCCUUAAGUCCCACUAAUCCACUAUUGAACAAUUGGUUUAAGGUUCAACCUAUAAACUUAAUCCCUCUCGGGCCAAUGAGAGGGUGGGGCCCCUUGUUCAAGACUUGGAUUCAGUGCUUAAGAGAGCAACCUAUCUACUAACCCUAAAGCGGGUAGGAGUGAAUUCCAUCUUGUACCCUGUUCCCAGCUAUCCACCCGAUCUUACCCCUGAAAUGGGAGGCUUUUGGGCCAACGCUGAUGAGCUGCCCUCACCUAUGCAGAUCUAAGGAUAAUCUCGUAUGAACAGGAGUUCAUAGUUAACUCAGGAUUAAGACUAAGUUACCUAGGUCAUCAAUAAUUGAGAUAGUCAGUUUUAAACAGUAAACGGUGUUAUAACGUAAAAAUGACUAAUUCAUGGUUCAGUCUUAUGUAAACAUUUUACAUAGGAUGCCCCCACUUUCAUGUCUCUACAUGAACGAUUAGGAUCACAUCGUUUGUACUACAAAGUGGGCCGCAUCCAUAGUUCUCAAAAUAAGGCGCCCAACCUUUAUUUCAUAUACUAUAGACUAUUUAGGCUAUAUACUCGAACUUGAUCCACGUUUAUGUUUACACAUAAAGUUCAAGUUUAUUCAAAAAAUAGCCUUGGAACUUUGAUUUAUUGGAUUUAAGAUUAUAAUAUUUAAUUUCUCAAUAACAACUUUAUUGAAUAGAAUAUGAUUUACAAACUACGAGUUUUAGGACAAAAAAUUCCAACACGAUAUCUGAGUGGAGUGUCUCAAAGUUUCUUGCCACAAAAGCCGAACGGUGACGCCCCAGACUCGGUUUCUUGGUUCCGUCCCAAAACGCCGAAGAAAGGCACAAUGGCCUAGAAAGGGACGGUCGGACUUGGAACGGGGUCCGAGGCCUCGAAAGUCCACAUCUAGCUACUGGGUGGUCCGAUUUUGAGUGAUCUCGAAGUUUCUUGCCCACAAAAGCCGAACGGUGACGCCCCAGACUCGGUUUCUUGGUUCCGUCCCAAAACGCCGAAGAAAGGCACAAUGGCCUAGAAAGGGACGGUCGGACUUGGAACGGGGUCCGAGGCCUCGAAAGUCCACAUCUAGCUACUGGGUGGUCCGAUUCUGAGUGAUCUCGAAGUUUCUUGCCCACAAAAGCCGAACGGUGACGCCCCAGACUCGGUUUCUUGGUUCCGUCCCAAAACGCCGAAGAAAGGCACAAUGGCCUAGAAAGGGACGGUCGGACUUGGAACGGGGUCCGAGGCCUCGAAAGUCCACAUCUAGCUACUGGGUGGUCCGAUUCUGAGUGAUCUCGAAGUUUCUUGCCCACAAAAGCCGAACGGUGACGCCCAGACUCGGUUUCUUGGUUCCGUCCCAAAACGCCGAAGAAAGGCACAAUGGCCUAGAAAGGGACGGUCGGACUUGGAACGGGGUCCGAGGCCUCGAAAGUCCACAUCUAGCUACUGGGUGGUCCGAUUCUGUGAUCUCGAAGUUUCUUGCCCACAAAAGCCGAACGGUGACGCCCCAGACUCGGUUUCUUGGUUCCGUCCCAAAACGCCGAAGAAAGGCACAAUGGCCUAGAAAGGGACGGUCGGACUUGGAACGGGGUCCGAGGCCUCGAAAGUCCACAUCUAGCUACUGGGUGGUCCGAUUCUGAGUGAUCUCGAAGUUUCUUGCCCACAAAAGCCGAACGGUGACGCCCCAGACUCGGUUUCUUGGUUCCGUCCCAAAACGCCGAAGAAAGGCACAAUGGCCUAGAAAGGGACGGUCGGACUUGGAACGGGGUCCGAGGCCUCGAAAGUCCACAUCUAGCUACUGGGUGGUCCGAUUCUGAGUGAUCUCGAAGUUUCUUGCCCACAAAAGCCGAACGGUGACGCCCCAGACUCGGUUUCUUGGUUCCGUCCCAAAACGCCGAAGAAAGGCACAAUGGCCUAGAAAGGGACGGUCGGACUUGGAACGGGGUCCGAGGCCUCGAAAGUCCACAUCUAGCUACUGGGUGGUCCGAUUCUGAGUGAUCUCGAAGUUUCUUGCCCACAAAAGCCGAACGGUGACGCCCCAGACUCGGUUUCUUGGUUCCGUCCCAAAACGCCGAAGAAAGGCACAAUGGCCUAGAAAGGGACGGUCGGACUUGGAACGGGGUCCGAGGCCUCGAAAGUCCACAUCUAGCUACUGGGUGGUCCGAUUCUGAGUGAUCUCGAAGUUUCUUGCCCACAAAAGCCGAACGGUGACCCCAGACUCGGUUUCUUGGUUCCGUCCCAAAACGCCGAAGAAAGGCACAAUGGCCUAGAAAGGGACGGUCGGACUUGGAACGGGGUCCGGCCUCGAAAGUCCACAUCUAGCUACUGGGUGGUCCGAUUCUGAGUGAUCUCGAAGUUUCUUGCCCACAAAAGCCGAACGGUGACGCCCCAGACUCGGUUUCUUGGUUCCGUCCCAAAACGCCGAAGAAAGGCACAAUGGCCUAGAAAGGGACGGUCGGACUUGGAACGGGGUCCGAGGCCUCGAAAGUCCACAUCUAGCUACUGGGUGGUCCGAUUCUGAGUGAUCUCGAAGUUUCUUGCCCACAAAAGCCGAACGGUGACGCCCCAGACUCGGUUUCUUGGUUCCGUCCCAAAACGCCGAAGAAAGGCACAAUGGCCUAGAAAGGGACGGUCGGACUUGGAACGGGGUCCGAGGCCUCGAAAGUCCACAUCUAGCUACUGGGUGGUCCGAUUCUGAGUGAUCUCGAAGUUUCUUGCCCACAAAAGCCGAACGGUGACGCCCCAGACUCGGUUUCUUGGUUCCGUCCCAAAACGCCGAAGAAAGGCACAAUGGCCUAGAAAGGGACGGUCGGACUUGGAACGGGGUCCGAGGCCUCGAAAGUCCACAUCUAGCUACUGGGUGGUCCGAUUCUGAGUGAUCUCGAAGUUUCUUGCCCACAAAAGCCGAACGGUGACGCCCCAGACUCGGUUUCUUGGUUCCGUCCCAAAACGCCGAAGAAAGGCACAAUGGCCUAGAAAGGGACGGUCGGACUUGGAACGGGGUCCGAGGCCUCGAAAGUCCACAUCUAGCUACUGGGUGGUCCGAUUCUGAGUGAUCUCGAAGUUUCUUGCCCACAAAAGCCGAACGGUGACGCCCCAGACUCGGUUUCUUGGUUCCGUCCCAAAACGCCGAAGAAAGGCACAAUGGCCUAGAAAGGGACGGUCGGACUUGGAACGGGGUCCGAGGCCUCGAAAGUCCACAUCUAGCUACUGGGUGGUCCGAUUCUGAGUGAUCUCGAAGUUUCUUGCCCACAAAAGCCGAACGGUGACGCCCAGACUCGGUUUCUUGGUUCCGUCCCAAAACGCCGAAGAAAGGCACAAUGGCCUAGAAAGGGACGGUCGGACUUGGAACGGGGUCCGAGGCCUCGAAAGUCCACAUCUAGCUACUGGGUGGUCCGAUUCUGAGUGAUCUCGAAGUUUCUUGCCCACAAAAGCCGAACGGUGACGCCCCAGACUCGGUUUCUUGGUUCCGUCCCAAAACGCCGAAGAAAGGCACAAUGGCCUAGAAAGGGACGGUCGGACUUGGAACGGGGUCCGAGGCCUCGAAAGUCCACAUCUAGCUACUGGGUGGUCCGAUUCUGAGUGAUCUCGAAGUUUCUUGCCCACAAAAGCCGAACGGUGACGCCCCAGACUCGGUUUCUUGGUUCCGUCCCAAAACGCCGAAGAAAGGCACAAUGGCCUAGAAAGGGACGGUCGGACUUGGAACGGGGUCCGAGGCCUCGAAAGUCCACAUCUAGCUACUGGGUGGUCCGAUUCUGAGUGAUCUCGAAGUUUCUUGCCCACAAAAGCCGAACGGUGACGCCCCAGACUCGGUUUCUUGGUUCCGUCCCAAAACGCCGAAGAAAGGCACAAUGGCCUAGAAAGGGACGGUCGGACUUGGAACGGGGUCCGAGGCCUCGAAAGUCCACAUCUAGCUACUGGUGGUCCGAUUCUGAGUGAUCUCGAAGUUUCUUGCCCACAAAAGCCGAACGGUGACGCCCCAGACUCGGUUUCUUGGUUCCGUCCCAAAACGCCGAAGAAAGGCACAAUGGCCUAGAAAGGGACGGUCGGACUUGGAACGGGGUCCGAGGCCUCGAAAGUCCACAUCUAGCUACUGGGUGGUCCGAUUCUGAGUGAUCUCGAAGUUUCUUGCCCACAAAAGCCGAACGGUGACGCCCCAGACUCGGUUUCUUGGUUCCGUCCCAAAACGCCGAAGAAAGGCACAAUGGCCUAGAAAGGGACGGUCGGACUUGGAACGGGGUCCGAGGCCUCGAAAGUCCACAUCUAGCUACUGGGUGGUCCGAUUCUGAGUGAUCUCGAAGUUUCUUGCCCACAAAAGCCGAACGGUGACCCCCAGACUCGGUUUCUUGGUUCCGUCCCAAAACGCCGAAGAAAGGCACAAUGGCCUAGAAAGGGACGGUCGGACUUGGAACGGGGUCCGGCCUCGAAAGUCCACAUCUAGCUACUGGGUGGUCCGAUUCUGUGAUCUCGAAGUUUCUUGCCCACAAAAGCCGAACGGUGACGCCCCAGACUCGGUUUCUUGGUUCCGUCCCAAAACGCCGAAGAAAGGCACAAUGGCCUAGAAAGGGACGGUCGGACUUGGAACGGGGUCCGAGGCCUCGAAAGUCCACAUCUAGCUACUGGGUGGUCCGAUUCUGAGUGAUCUCGAAGUUUCUUGCCCACAAAAGCCGAACGGUGACGCCCCAGACUCGGUUUCUUGGUUCCGUCCCAAAACGCCGAAGAAAGGCACAAUGGCCUAGAAAGGGACGGUCGGACUUGGAACGGGGUCCGAGGCCUCGAAAGUCCACAUCUAGCUACUGGGUGGUCCGAUUCUGUGAUCUCGAAGUUUCUUGCCCACAAAAGCCGAACGGUGACGCCCCAGACUCGGUUUCUUGGUUCCGUCCCAAAACGCCGAAGAAAGGCACAAUGGCCUAGAAAGGGACGGUCGGACUUGGAACGGGGUCCGAGGCCUCGAAAGUCCACAUCUAGCUACUGGGUGGUCCGAUUCUGAGUGAUCUCGAAGUUUCUUGCCCACAAAAGCCGAACGGUGACGCCCCAGACUCGGUUUCUUGGUUCCGUCCCAAAACGCCGAAGAAAGGCACAAUGGCCUAGAAAGGGACGGUCGGACUUGGAACGGGGUCCGAGGCCUCGAAAGUCCACAUCUAGCUACUGGGUGGUCCGAUUCUGAGUGAUCUCGAAGUUUCUUGCCCACAAAAGCCGAACGGUGACGCCCCAGACUCGGUUUCUUGGUUCCGUCCCAAAACGCCGAAGAAAGGCACAAUGGCCUAGAAAGGGACGGUCGGACUUGGAACGGGGUCCGAGGCCUCGAAAGUCCACAUCUAGCUACUGGGUGGUCCGAUUCUGUGAUCUCGAAGUUUCUUGCCCACAAAAGCCGAACGGUGACGCCCCAGACUCGGUUUCUUGGUUCCGUCCCAAAACGCCGAAGAAAGGCACAAUGGCCUAGAAAGGGACGGUCGGACUUGGAACGGGGUCCGAGGCCUCGAAAGUCCACAUCUAGCUACUGGGUGGUCCGAUUCUGAGUGAUCUCGAAGUUUCUUGCCCACAAAAGCCGAACGGUGACGCCCCAGACUCGGUUUCUUGGUUCCGUCCCAAAACGCCGAAGAAAGGCACAAUGGCCUAGAAAGGGACGGUCGGACUUGGAACGGGGUCCGAGGCCUCGAAAGUCCACAUCUAGCUACUGGGUGGUCCGAUUCUGAGUGAUCUCGAAGUUUCUUGCCCACAAAAGCCGAACGGUGACGCCCCAGACUCGGUUUCUUGGUUCCGUCCCAAAACGCCGAAGAAAGGCACAAUGGCCUAGAAAGGGACGGUCGGACUUGGAACGGGGUCCGAGGCCUCGAAAGUCCACAUCUAGCUACUGGGUGGUCCGAUUCUGAGUGAUCUCGAAGUUUCUUGCCCACAAAAGCCGAACGGUGACGCCCCAGACUCGGUUUCUUGGUUCCGUCCCAAAACGCCGAAGAAAGGCACAAUGGCCUAGAAAGGGACGGUCGGACUUGGAACGGGGUCCGAGGCCUCGAAAGUCCACAUCUAGCUACUGGGUGGUCCGAUUCUGUGAUCUCGAAGUUUCUUGCCCACAAAAGCCGAACGGUGACGCCCCAGACUCGGUUUCUUGGUUCCGUCCCAAAACGCCGAAGAAAGGCACAAUGGCCUAGAAAGGGACGGUCGGACUUGGAACGGGGUCCGAGGCCUCGAAAGUCCACAUCUAGCUACUGGGUGGUCCGAUUCUGAGUGAUCUCGAAGUUUCUUGCCCACAAAAGCCGAACGGUGACGCCCCAGACUCGGUUUCUUGGUUCCGUCCCAAAACGCCGAAGAAAGGCACAAUGGCCUAGAAAGGGACGGUCGGACUUGGAACGGGGUCCGAGGCCUCGAAAGUCCACAUCUAGCUACUGGGUGGUCCGAUUCUGAGUGAUCUCGAAGUUUCUUGCCCACAAAAGCCGAACGGUGACGCCCCAGACUCGGUUUCUUGGUUCCGUCCCAAAACGCCGAAGAAAGGCACAAUGGCCUAGAAAGGGACGGUCGGACUUGGAACGGGGUCCGAGGCCUCGAAAGUCCACAUCUAGCUACUGGGUGGUCCGAUUCUUGUGAUCUCGAAGUUUCUUGCCCACAAAAGCCGAACGGUGACGCCCCAGACUCGGUUUCUUGGUUCCGUCCCAAAACGCCGAAGAAAGGCACAAUGGCCUAGAAAGGGACGGUCGGACUUGGAACGGGGUCCGAGGCCUCGAAAGUCCACAUCUAGCUACUGGGUGGUCCGAUUCUGAGUGAUCUCGAAGUUUCUUGCCCACAAAAGCCGAACGGUGACGCCCCAGACUCGGUUUCUUGGUUCCGUCCCAAAACGCCGAAGAAAGGCACAAUGGCCUAGAAAGGGACGGUCGGACUUGGAACGGGGUCCGAGGCCUCGAAAGUCCACAUCUAGCUACUGGGUGGUCCGAUUCUGAGUGAUCUCGAAGUUUCUUGCCCACAAAAGCCGAACGGUGACGCCCCAGACUCGGUUUCUUGGUUCCGUCCCAAAACGCCGAAGAAAGGCACAAUGGCCUAGAAAGGGACGGUCGGACUUGGAACGGGGUCCGAGGCCUCGAAAGUCCACAUCUAGCUACUGGGUGGUCCGAUUCUGAGUGAUCUCGAAGUUUCUUGCCCACAAAAGCCGAACGGUGACGCCCAGACUCGGUUUCUUGGUUCCGUCCCAAAACGCCGAAGAAAGGCACAAUGGCCUAGAAAGGGACGGUCGGACUUGGAACGGGGUCCGAGGCCUCGAAAGUCCACAUCUAGCUACUGGGUGGUCCGAUUCUGAGUGAUCUCGAAGUUUCUUGCCCACAAAAGCCGAACGGUGACGCCCAGACUCGGUUUCUUGGUUUGUCCCAAAACGCCGAAGAAAGGCACAAUGGCCUAGAAAGGGACGGUCGGACUUGGAACGGGGUCCGAGGCCUCGAAAGUCCACAUCUAGCUACUGGGUGGUCCGAUUCUGAGUGAUCUCGAAGUUUCUUGCCCACAAAAAGCCAAACGGUGACGCCCUAGACUCGGUUUGUUGGUUCCGUCCCAAAACGUCGAAGAAAGCACAAUGGCCUAGAAAGGGACAGUCGGACUUUGGAACGGUGUCCGAGGCGUCGAAAGUCCACAUCUAGCUACUCGGUGGUCCGAUUCUGAGUGAUCUCGAAGUUUCUUGCCCACAAAAGGCGAACGGUGACGCCCCAGACUCGGUUUCUUGGUUCCAUCCGAAAACGCCGGAAGAAAGGCACAAUGGCCUAGAAAGGGACGGUCGGACUUGGAACGCGGUGCGAGGCCUCAAAAGUCCACAUCUAGCUACUGGGUGGUCCGAUUCUGAGUGAUCUCGAACUUUCUUGCCCACAAAAGGCGAACGGUGACGCCCAGACUCGGUUUCUUGGUUCCGUCCCAAAACGUCGAAGAAAGGCACAAUGGCCUAGAAAGGGACGGUCGGACUUGGAACGGUGUCCGAGGCCUCGAAAGUCCACAUCUAGCUACUGGGUGGUUCGAUUCUGAGUGAUCUCGAAGUUUCUUGCCCACAAAAGGCGAACGGUGACGCCCAGACUCGGUUUCUUGGUUCCGUCCGAAAACGCCGAAGAAAGGCACAAUGGCCUAGAAAGGGACGGUCGGACUUGGAACGCGGUCCGAGGCCUCGAAAGUCCACAUCUAGCUACUGGGUGGUCCGAUUCUGAGUGAUCUCGAACUUUCUUGCCCACAAAAGCCGAACGGUGUCGCCCCAGACUCGGUUUCUUGGUUCCGUCCCAAAACGCCGAAGAAAGGCACAAUGGCCUAGAAAGGGACGGUCGGACUUGGAACGGGGUCCGAGGCCUCGAAAGUCCACAUCUAGCUACUGGGUGGUCCGAUUCUGAGUGAUCUCGAAGUUUCUUGCCCACAAAAGCGAACGGUGACGCCCAGACUCGGUUUCUUGGUUCCGUCCCAAAACGCCGAAGAAAGGCCCAAUGGCCUAGAAAGGGACGGUCGGACUUGGAACGGGGUCCGAGGCCUCGAAAGUCCACAUCUAGCUACUGGGUUGUCCGAUUCUGAGUGAUCUCGAAGUUUCUUGCCCACAAAAGCCGAACGGUGACGCCCCAGACUCGGUUUCUUGGUUUUGUCCCAUAACGGCGAAGAAAGGCACAAUGGCCUAGAAAGGGACGGUCGGACUUGGAACGGGGUCCGAGGCCUCGAAAGUCCACAUCUAGCUACUGGGUGGUCCGAUUCUGAGUGAUCUCGAAGUUUCUUGCCCACAAAAGCCAAACGGUGACGCCCUAGACUCGGUUUGUUGGUUCCGUCCCAAAACGUCGAAGAAAGGCACAAUGGCCUAGAAAGGGACAGUCGGACUUGGAACGGUGUCCGAGGCCUCGAAAGUCCACAUCUAGCUACUCGGUGGUCCGAUUCUGAGUGAUCUCGAAGUUUCUUGCCCACAAAAGGCGAACGGUGACGCCUCAGACUCGGUUUCUUGGUUCCGUCCGAAAACGCCGAAGAAAGGCACAAUGGCCUAGAAAGGGACGGUCGGACUUGGAACGCGGUGCGAGGCCUCAAAAGUCCACAUCUAGCUACUGGGUGGUCCGAUUCUGAGUGAUCUCGAACUUUCUUGCCCACAAAAGCCGAACGGUGACGCCCCAGACUCAGUUUCUUGGUUCCGUCCCAAAACGCCGAAGAAAGGCACAAUGGCCUAGAAAGGGACGGUCGGACUUGGAACGGGGUCCGAGGCCUCGAAAGUCCACAUCUAGCUACUCGGUGGUCCGAUUCUGAGUGAUCUCGAAGGUUCUUGCCCACAAAAGGCGAACGGUGACGCCCAGACUCGGUUUCUUGGUUCCGUCCCAAAACGCCGAAGAAAGGCACAAUAGGGUAAUCCAAGCUUCAAGAUUUAUAUUUAGGCUAACUUAAACAAAUCUUAAGUCUAGAUAAAACAUCCAAGUAUAACCAUUAUACAGGAUUUUAACCUAUGAUGUCUAGGUGAAAAACCAUUUUUAUUACCUCACACUCUCACGAAUGCUCAUAAAACUAGGUUAACUAGGCUCAAGAACUGAUUACGAUCUUCAGUAGGAGGUGUUCCGUAAACCGUCAACUUAAGAACCUCCAACCUUAGUCAUCUUAUCUGACUUGUUGACAAGAUUGAACCAGGUGAGCCUUUUGUAACCAGUUUUACAAGAUAUCGACCUAUUUCUAUGAAAAAUGGAAGAUAUGUUUAACCUAAGUGAGCAUGCAUUUAAUCUUUGUUAUUGAUUUUAAAAAGUCUAAUUUAUUUUAUAACACUUAUAAAAACUUCUAUACUUAAUCAAUCAUUUUAUCAAUAUAUACUCUUAUAAAAACAAUCAAUUAAUAUGGAUUUUAAUUUAUUUAACUUUAAUUAAAUCAUAUUUAAUUAAAUUAAAUCAAACAAUAAUUAAUUAAUUUGAUUAAAUCAUAUUUAAUCAAGAAUAACUUAAUUAAUUAAUAAUUAAUUAAUCAUAUUAAUUAAUUUCCAUAUUAAUCAAUUAACAUGCAUACAAUACAAUAUAACCUUUAUAUCAUACAUUUUAAUGCAUGAACAUGUUAACCUAUGGUGGGAUUUUAAAUCUAUAUGACAUUCAAAAUGCACAUACAAAUUUAAAUAACUUAAUCAUACAUCACAUGCAUAAAUAAAAAAAACACCCUAAAAUUGACUGAUUUUUGGCUCCUAAAUUAAGCUAAGUGCUAAAUUAUUACAUAAUUAAUUUGGUGUAGUACAGAACCACUCCCAAAAACUUCGAACCGGCUAAAAAACCAACCGAAACCGCUUGAACCGGCCCAAAAACCAAAUUUAUUGGCUUGAACCGGCCCAGGCGCACACGGGUCGUGCGAAGGCAGGCGCGCGGGCGAAGGCGGGCGCGGGCGCAUGCGGGCGGCGGGCGGAUGCGGGCGCGCAGGCGCAUGCGGCGCGCGGCGCAGCGGCGCGCAGGCGCAUGCGGCGCGGCAGGCGGCGCGGGCGCAUGCGGCGCGCAGGCGGCAGGCGGGCGCGGGGCGCAGGAGGGCGCGCGGCAUGCGGGUCGCGAAGCGGGUCAAGGCCGGGUUUUCGGGUCUGUGACCUUCUUUUCUUCAUUUUUUUCAAUUCUCUCACCCGGUUGAACCAAUUACAGCCUAGCUUCAACUCUAAUGACUUUUUUAUUUUUUAAAAAUUACAAACACUUUGCAACAAUAAAAAUAAGCCAUUAACAAGGCUAAUUACAAUAAUUAGAACAAAAACACUUAAUCUAGAGCCAAAAUCAUAAUAUAUCCAUUUUAGUUCAAACCAAAAUUUUCUAAUAAAUUUGAACCCACAAUGCAAUUGGGUAAAAAUGAAGCUCUGAUCCACCAUGAUAGAACUAAGUCUGCACAGCGGAAAAAGAAUCGAAUUUCUACCCUAAUUGCCACAAAUUAACAUCUUAACCAUAAAACUAAUCAAUUAGGGUUUUAAGAAGUAUUACCUUUGAAGCUUUCAAAAGGUUUGAUGUCUUCUUACAAUUCUACGAGAACCACUAGUACUCAACUGCUAUCCUCUAGACAAAGAACCGGGUUGUGGGACCCAAUUUUGGUGUAGAAAGUAAUGGAGAUAAAAUGAGAUUGGAAGCUUUCUUUUUUCUUUUGUUGAGAUUAUGAAAAGAUAAAAGAGGCAAAAAGUCCUUCAACAUUUGAAAACAUCUCUAUUUAUAGCCUAAUUACAUGCAAAAAUGCAUACAAUUCAAUUGCCAAAUCUCAACACCUAAUAUUCCACUAACAAUUAGUGGAACUUAGUGGGCUAGGUGUCUAUAUCUCAUAUAGCCACAUAUCCCACUAAGAGUUAGUGGGAUUAUCCAACAAAAUGUUGGAUUUUCCCACUAACUUAGUCCAAGGGUAAAAUGGUCAUUUGAUUUUUCUAGUCAAAAGUCAAACUUUGACUUUUCUAAGUCAAAAGUCAAUAUUUUGACUUUUUACCAUUUUGUCCGUCUUGACUAAUUCCAACCUCCCGAGCAUGAAUCCGCAUUCAUUUUUCCAAAAUUCAAAUCACAU
rnacentral:lncRNA from 1 species